rnacentral:rRNA from 1 species
GACGAACGCUGGCGGCGUGCUUAACACAUGCAAGUCGAACGGAAAGGCCCUGCUUUUGUUGGGUGCUCGAGUGGCGAACGGGUGAGUAACACGUGAGUAACCUGCCCUUGACUUUGGGAUAACUUCAGGAAACUGGGGCUAAUACCGGAUAGGAGCUCCUGCUGCAUGGUGGGGGUUGGAAAGUUUCGGCGGUUGGGGAUGGACUCGCGGCUUAUCAGCUUGUUGGUGGGGUAGUGGCUUACCAAGGCUUUGACGGGUAGCCGGCCUGAGAGGGUGACCGGCCACAUUGGGACUGAGAGACGGCCCAGACUCCUACGGGAGUCAGCAGUGGGGAAUAUUGCACAAUGGGCGGAAGCCUGAUGCAGCAACGCCGCGUGCGGGAUGACGGCCUUCGGGUUGUAAACCGCUUUCGCCUGUGACGAAGCGUGAGUGACGGUAAUGGGUAAAGAAGCACCGGCUAACUACGUG